AACAAAAGGAUCAAUAUGUUUCGUUCUGAAAUCUUUUAUAUUGAUUUCACUGAAUCAUAUAUUCAAAGUUCUCAGACUGUU